AAGUCGAGCGGACAGAUGGGAGCUUGCUCCCUGAUGUUAGCGGCGGACGGGUGAGUAACACGUGGGUAACCUGCCUGUAAGACUGGGAUAACUCCGGGAAACCGGGGCUAAUACCGGAUGGUUGUUUGAACCGCAUGGUUCAAACAUAAAAGGUGGCUUCGGCUACCACUUACAGAUGGACCCGCGGCGCAUUAGCUAGUUGGUGAGGUAACGGCUCACCAAGGCAACGAUGCGUAGCCGACCUGAGAGGGUGAUCGGCCACACUGGGACUGAGACACGGCCCAGACUCCUACGGGAGGCAGCAGUAGGGAAUCUUCCGCAAUGGACGAAAGUCUGACGGAGCAACGCCGCGUGAGUGAUGAAGGUUUUCGGAUCGUAAAGCUCUGUUGUUAGGGAAGAACAAGUACCGUUCGAAUAGGGCGGUACCUUGACGGUACCUAACCAGAAAGCCACGGCUAACUACGUGCCAGCAGCCGCGGUAAUACGUAGGUGGCAAGCGUUGUCCGGAAUUAUUGGGCGUAAAGGGCUCGCAGGCGGUUUCUUAAGUCUGAUGUGAAAGCCCCCGGCUCAACCGGGGAGGGUCAUUGGAAACUGGGGAACUUGAGUGCAGAAGAGGAGAGUGGAAUUCCACGUGUAGCGGUGAAAUGCGUAGAGAUGUGGAGGAACACCAGUGGCGAAGGCGACUCUCUGGUCUGUAACUGACGCUGAGGAGCGAAAGCGUGGGGAGCGAACAGGAUUAGAUACCCUGGUAGUCCACGCCGUAAACGAUGAGUGCUAAUGUUUAGGGGGUUUCCGCCCCUUAGUGCUGCAGCUAACGCAUUAAGCACUCCGCCUGGGGGAGUACGGUCGCAAGACUGAAACUCAAAGGAAUUGACGGGGGCCCGCACAAGCGGUGGAACAUGUUGGUUUAAUUCGAAGCAACGCGAAGAACCUUACCAGGUCUUGACAUCCUCUGACAUCCUAGAAGAUAGGACGUCCCCUUCGGGGGCAAAGUGACAGGUGUUGCAUGGUUGUCGUCAGCUCCUGUCGUGAAAAGUUGGGGUUAAGUCCCGCAACGAGCGCAACCCUUGAUCUUAGUUGCCAGCAUUCAGUUGGGCACUCUAAGGUGACUGCCGGUGACAACCCCAGGAAAGUUGGGGAUGACGUCCAAUCAUCAAGCCCCUAUAAACUGGGGUACACCCUGCUUCAAUGGACAGAACAAAGGGAGCGAAACCCCCAGGUUAAACCAUCCGCCAAUCUUUUCU
rnacentral:rRNA from 1 species